rnacentral:rRNA from 1 species
AUUGAACGCUGGCGGCAUGCCUUACACAUGCAAGUCGAACGGCAGCGGACCUUCGGGUGCCGGCGAGUGGCGAACGGGUGAGUAAUAUAUCGGAACGUACCUUUCAGUGGGGGAUAACGUAGCGAAAGUUACGCUAAUACCGCAUAUUCUGUGAGCAGGAAAGCAGGGGAUCGCGAGACCUUGCGCUGAUUGAGCGGCCGAUAUCAGAUUAGCUAGUUGGUGAGGUAAAGGCUCACCAAGGCGACGAUCUGUAGCGGGUCUGAGAGGAUGAUCCGCCACACUGGAACUGAGACACGGUCCAGACUCCUACGGGAGGCAGCAGUGGGGAAUUUUGGACAAUGGGCGCAAGCCUGAUCCAGCCAUGCCGCGUGAGUGAAGAAGGCCUCGGUUGUAAG